AGACCUGAAUUUGAGGGAUAAAAAGAAAGGCAAUGAAAGCACCCUUCAUGAGUAUACUGCUUGCUUCUAUGGCAUCGCCUCUCAAGGGAUCAUGCCCGGAAAAUACAGCUGCAGUUAUAUGCCAUGGAGCUGCCUUCGUUCCACAAGUAUACUGUAAUGAUGCCGAUCCCGAAAAAUGGCCGUGCAAAAGGCAGCGAAAUAUAAGGUGCGGUUGCGUAGCUGGAUAUGCCCGUGCAAGGAACGGUGAAUGUGUGCGAGUAACAGAGUGCGACAUUAGAAACGAUGUUCGAUUGAUAUAUCCAUACGCUAGUAAUACUCAAUCAGAGGGCAAU